rnacentral:rRNA from 1 species
GACGGAGGACGCAAGCGUUAUCCGGAAUGAUUGGGCGUAAAGCGUCCGCAGGUGGCAGUUCAAGUCUGCUGUCAAAGACCGGGGCUUAACUUCGGAAAGGCAGUGGAAACUGAACAGCUAGAGUAUGGUAGGGGCAGAGGGAAUUCCUGGUGUAGCGGUGAAAUGCGUAGAGAUCAGGAAGAACAUCGGUGGCGAAGGCGCUCUGCUGGACCAUAACUGACACUCAGGGACGAAAGCUAGGGGAGCGAACGGG